AGCACGGAGGUUUAGACAUGGUGCUCACACAGAGUACAUUAUCUCACUUAAUGCAGAUGAUAUAUCCCAAGGAAGUAAUGCUUAUGUUGGAAAGUUAAGUUCGGACUUUCUUGGCACCAACUUUACAAUAUAUGACAGCCAGCCACCGCACAGCGGCGCAAAGCCUGCAAGUAGCAGAACUAGCCGCCGAUUUACAAGGAAGCAAAUAAGCCCCCAAGUUCCAGCGGGCAAUUUUGAGGUUGGACAGGUCUCGUACAAAUUUAACCUCUUAAAGUCAAGAGGUCCAAGAAGGAUGGUG
rnacentral:misc_RNA from 1 species